CCUACGGGGGGCAGCAGUGGGGAAUAUUGGACAAUGGGGGCAACCCUGAUCCAGCCAUGCCGCGUGUGUGAAGAAGGCCCUCGGGUUGUAAAGCACUUUCAGUGAGGAAGAACGCCUGGUGGUUAAUACCCAUCAGGAAAGACAUCACUCACAGAAGAAGCACCGGCUAACUCCGUGCCAGCAGCCGCGGUAAUACGGAGGGUGCGAGCGUUAAUCGGAAUUACUGGGCGUAAAGCGCGCGUAGGUGGCUUGAUAAGCCGGUUGUGAAAGCCACGGGCUCAACCUGGGAACGGCAUCCGGAACUGUCAAGCUAGAGUGCAGGAGAGGAAGGUAGAAUUCCCGGUGUAGCGGUGAAAUGCGUAGAGAUCGGGAGGAAUACCAGUGGCGAAGGCGGCCUUCUGGACUGACACUGACACUGAGGUGCGAAAGCGUGGGUAGCAAACAGGAUUAGAUACCCCUGUAGUC
rnacentral:rRNA from 1 species